rnacentral:rRNA from 1 species
UACAGAGGGGGCCAGCGUUAUUCGGAAUUAUUGGGCGUAAAGGGCGCGUAGGCGGCCAUGCGUGUCUUCCGUGAAAUCCCUCGGCUUAACUGAGGACGUGCGGAAGAAACUGCAAGGGCUCGAGUCCGGGGAGAGGGGGUGGAAUUCCCGUGUAGCGGUGAAAUGCGUAGAUAAUUGGGAGGAACACCGGUGGGCGAAGGCGGCCCCCUGG